rnacentral:rRNA from 1 species
CCUACGGGGUGCAGCAGUGGGGAAUAUUGGACAAUGGGCGAAAGCCUGAUCCAGCCAUGCCGCGUGUGUGAAGAAGGCCUUCGGGUUGUAAAGCACUUUCAGUGGGGAAGAAAGCCUUGGGGCUAAUACCCUCGAGGAAGGACAUCACCCACAGAAGAAGCACCGGCUAACUCCGUGCCAGCAGCCGCGGUAAUACGGAGGGUGCGAGCGUUAAUCGGAAUUACUGGGCGUAAAGCGCGCGUAGGCGGUCUGAUAAGCCGGUUGUGAAAGCCCCGGGCUCAACCUGGGAACGGCAUCCGGAACUGUCAGGCUAGAGUGCAGGAGAGGAAGGUAGAAUUCCCGGUGUAGCGGUGAAAUGCGUAGAGAUCUGGAGGAAUACCAGUGGCGAAGGCGGCCUUCUGGACUGACACUGACGCUGAGGUGCGAAAGCGUGGGUAGCAAACAGGAUUAGAUACCCGUGUAGUC